AACGAACGCUGGCGGCAUGCCUAACACAUGCAAGUCGAACGAGACCUUCGGGUCUAGUGGCGCACGGGUGCGUAACGCGUGGGAACCUGCCCUUAGGUUCGGAAUAACUCCCCGAAAGGGGUGCUAAUACCGGAUAAUGUCUUCGGACCAAAGAUUUAUCGCCUUUGGAUGGGCCCGCGUUGGAUUAGCUAGUUGGUAGGGUAAAAGCCUGCCAAGGCGACGAUCCAUAGCUGGUCUGAGAGGAUGAUCAGCCACACUGGGAAUGAGACACGGCCCAGACUCCUACGGGAGGCAGCAGUGGGGAAUAUUGGACAAUGGGCGAAAGCGUGAUCCAGCAAUGCCGCGUGAGUGAGGAAGGGCUUAGGGUUGUAAAGCUCUUUUACCCGGGAUGAUAAUGACAGUACCGGGAGAAUAAGCUCCGGCUAACUCCGUG
rnacentral:rRNA from 1 species